rnacentral:rRNA from 1 species
GCAGCAGCCGCGGUAAUACGUAGGUGGCAAGCGUUGUCCGGAAUUAUUGGGCGUAAAGGGCUCGCAGGCGGUUUCUUAAGUCUGAUGUGAAAGCCCCCGGCUCAACCGGGGAGGGUCAUUGGAAACUGGGAAACUUGAGUGCAGAAGAGGAGAGUGGAAUUCCACGUGUAGCGGUGAAAUGCGUAGAGAUGUGGAGGAACACCAGUGGCGAAGGCGACUCUCUGGUCUGUAACUGACGCUGAGGAGCGAAAGCGUGGGGAUCAAACAGGAUUAGAUACCCGCGUAGUCCCUGUCUCUUAUAA